ACUGAAACAUCCCCUUUGAGCUUAGAGAAUUAGCAGCACAUUUGUUCCUGUACUCCUCGUGAAUUAAGGAAACUGUGUUGGUGAUUGGGUCAUAAAGUUGUUCCCCUGCCUCUCGCCUUCGCAAACAGCUGAAGACUGUAGCAUGAAUGGCGGCUACACUUUUGUCGACAUUGGUGUUGUUAAUUUUAGGGACAAGGGUCAAGGGUCAUGUACUUUGCACGCACAGCAAAUCUUUCCAUGUGUUUCUCUUCGUUUGUGAUGUAUAUCAUGAAUGGGAUAAUAGAGGGAUGCUUCCUCAUGAGACCCAUCUACAUAAACAAGGGAAAUAAUGAAUGUGUGAAUAUGCUCCUGAUAGAAAAGAAGUUCUAGUUUUUUGAAUGGGAAAGACAAUUUUCUACAAGAAGGAAAAUUUACAUUGGUUUCUGUUA